rnacentral:rRNA from 1 species
CCCUUAGAUGUUCGGGGCCGCACGCGCGCUACACUGAAGGAAUCAGCACGUCUUUCUCCUUGUCCGAAAGGACUGGGUAACCCGCUGAACCUCCUUCGUGCUAGGGAUUGGGGCUUGUAAUUCUUCCCCAUGAACGAGGAAUUCCCAGUAAGCGCGAGUCAUAAGCUCGCGUUGAUUACGUCCCUGCCCUUUGUACACACCGCCCGUCGCUACUACCGAUUGGGUGGUUUAGUGAGAUCCUCGGAUUGGUCCCGGAGCGGCCUCUGGUCGUGCCGGAGUGCCGAAAAGAAUGUCGAACUUGAUCAUCUAGAGGAAGUAAAAGUCGUAACA